rfam:Helianthus annuus linkage group 9, whole genome shotgun sequence.
AUUUUGCAAUGAUGAAAUACGAAUAAUUCACAUGUCAGACUUCAAAGAUUUUGUUAUCAAAAUCAGUGAGCAUGAAACUUGUAAUAUUUUGUAUAUA